rnacentral:other from 2 species
AUUGACCUGCUUGGCCCGUUGCCCCUUUGUUUUUCUAACCUACACAUGAGUUUCGGGAGCAAUCGGUCCUGUAGUCUAUGUCAGGCCGCAUCAGGCGGAAGGCAGAAGCCACAGGUCGGGCACCCACCUGGGAGAGGUGGGUUUUAGAAAAACAGUUGGUGACGACCCGGCGGGCAUAAC